rnacentral:rRNA from 1 species
UACCAGCACCCCGAGUGGUCGGGACGUUUUUAUUGGGCCUAAAGCAUCCGUAGCCGGUUCUACAAGUCUUCCGUUAAAUCCACCUGCUCAACAGAUGGGCUGCGGAAGAUACUAUGGAGCUAGGAGGCGGGGAGAGGCAAGCGGGUACUCGAUGGGUAGGGGUAAAAUCCGUUGAUCCAUUGAAGACCACCAGUGGCGAAGGCGGCUUGCCAGAACGCGCUCGGCGGUGAGGGAUGAAAGCUGGGGGAGCAAACCGGG